UUUCCUCUUCUCCGGAUAUCUUGUAUUUCUACACGCUGUGUACGGCUUUCAGGAGAUUUUGAUAUCGUCCCAGGUCCAGGAUGAGCAUUAUAACCCCCAGCGAUGAUGAUGAGACCCGGCAGUUCUACCAGCAGCUCCGUCAGUAUGAAGAUCACUUCCUGAGGAUGACGUAUGAAUAUUUCCAGGAUGAUCUGCUCCACAUCGUGGAGAACAUGAGUUUUCCACCACUUCUGCAU